AUUUCCUCGAAAGCAAUUUAUUCCUGCAAUGUUUAAGAUGUCCCAAUAUAACAAAAUCAACAUCAACGAAUUCCACAAUAUUAAAGAAACUUGCACAAGCACCAAGACAACAGCCAUACAUCAUUUAGUGAAAUGUUAAUCAGCUAUGAAUGAUAGUUGGGACAAACUAAGGCACCAAAACAGUAGAUUCAUGAUUAGGAAACUAUAAGGGGAGAGUCAACUUUUGUAAUAAGACAAACAAUAACAUGAGAAGUAGUUGACUCAAAAAAAUUAGCAUUCUUGAUUGUUUAAAAAAUGCCAUAUCAAUCAUCCAAUCUGUUUAAGGAAGAAAAACCAAAAUGUAAAAUGGUCCAACUAGAAGAAUUUAAACAUAAAUCAAAUAAUUGUUUCAAUUAUUAGGCUGGACAAUGAAACCAACAAUGUGCAGCCAACAGUUUGACAAUGUACUCUAUGAUUUGCAUAAUUUCAAAGCAGCAUAUCCUGUUAGGCAAUGAGAUUAUAUGGAACACUAAGUGUGCAAUUGUGAAUUUGUAACUUAGGUUGCAUAAAUUUUUGUGGAACAUUUGAUAUUUCAUAGUGAAUUUGCUAUAUCAUAUUUAGGGAUUGAAUUGAAAGGAACCAUGAAAAUUCAGACGCCUCUACAAAGGAUAAUGCAAGAAAACAUGCACAAAUUUGGUAGACCUCAAACACCAAACAAAAAGGGGGUUCAAACAAAGGGGGAAUGUGUACUAACAGCCAAACAAAGGGGAAAAAACCUAAGAGUAUCAAGUUUGUUUCCCAUCUAUCUCACUCCUGAGCAGCAAACGUGUAAUAACAGCCAAAGCUCCAAACAAAGGGAGAAAACCUCAAACACCCAGGUCCAUCAUCCAAAAAAAUUCAACAAAAUGAACGACCAUUUGAUAAUAAAAACCAAGAGUAUCAAAUUAGCUUCCUAUCUAUCUCACUCUUGAAGAAAUGCGUUCGACAAGUAGAAAUGAAAUACAACUCUUUUUCCCAAUUAGCAUCAACCCACUAUCUCAAACAAAAUCAUUCGACUAAAAAAAAAAAAAAGCAAG
rnacentral:misc_RNA from 1 species